CAGCAGUGGGGAAUUUUUGGACAAUGGGGGCAACCCUGAUCCAGCCAUUCCGCGUGAGUGAAGAAGGCCUUCGGGUUGUAAAGCUCUUUCAAGAGGGAAGAAAAGGUAUAGGUUAAUAGCCUAUGCUGCUGACGGUACCUCUAGAAGAAGCACCGGCUAACUACGUGCCAGCAGCCGCGGUAAUACGUAGGGGUGCGAGCGUUAAUCGGAAUUACUGGGCGUAAAGCGUGCGCAGGCGGUUUGGUAAGUCAGAUGUGAAAUCCCCGGGCUCAACCUGGGAACUGCGUUUGAAACUACCAGACUAGAAUAUGUCAGAGGGGGUAGAAUUCCACGUGUAGCAGUGAAAUGCGUAGAGAUGUGGAGGAAUACCAAUGGCGAAGGCAGCCCCCUGGGAUAAUAUUGACGCUCAUGCACGAAAGCGUGGGGAGCGAACAGGAUUAGAUACCCUGGUAG
rnacentral:rRNA from 1 species